AGUGGCAGACGGGUGAGUAACAUGUGGGUAUCUACCCUUUGGCCUGGAAUAACACGAGGAAACUUGUGCUAAUACCGGAUAAGUCUUUACGGAGAAAGCUUUAUGCACCAUUGAAUGAGCCCGCACUUGAUUAGUUUGUUGGUAGGGUAAUGGCCUACCAAGACUAUGAUCAAUAGCUGAUUUGAGAGGAUGAUCAGCCACAUUGGGACUGAGACACGGCCCAAACUCCUACGGGAGGCAGCAGUGGGGAAUCUUGCACAAUGGAGGAAAUUCUGAUGCAGCGAUGCCGCGUGAGUGAAGAAGGCCCUUGGGUUGUAAAGCUCUUUCGUCGGGGAAGAAAAUGACUGUACCCGAAUAAGAAGGUCCGGCUAACUUCGUGCCAGCAGCCGCGGUAAUACGAAGGGACCUAGCGUAGUUCGGAAUUACUGGGCUUAAAGAGUUCGUAGGUGGUUGAAAAAGUUGGUGGUGAAAUCCCAGAGCUUAACUCUGGAACUGCCAUCAUAACUUUUCAGCUAGAGUAUGAUAGAGGAAAGCAGAAUUUCUAGUGUAGAGGUGAAAUUCGUAGAUAUUAGAAAGAAUACCAACUGCGAAGGCAGCUUUCUGGGUCAUUACUGACACUGAGGAACGAAAGCAUGGGUAGCGAAGAGGAUUAGAUACCCUCGUAGUCCAUGCCGA
rnacentral:rRNA from 1 species